CCUACGGGUGGCAGCAGUGGGGAAUAUUGCACAAUGGACGGAAGUCUGAUGCAGCAACGCCGCGUGGAGGAUGACACAUUUCGGUGCGUAAACUCCUUUUAUAUAAGAAGAUAAUGACGGUAUUAUAUGAAUAAGCACCGGCUAACUCCGUGCCAGCAGCCGCGGUAAUACGGGGGGUGCAAGCGUUACUCGGAAUCACUGGGCGUAAAGAGCAUGUAGGCGGAUUAAUAAGUUUGAAGUGAAAUCCUAUAGCUUAACUAUAGAACUGCUUUGAAAACUGUUGAUCUAGAAUGUGGGAGAGGUAGAUGGAAUUUCUGGUGUAGGGGUAAAAUCCGUAGAGAUCAGAAGGAAUACCGAUUGCGAAGGCGAUUUACUGGAACACAAUUGACGCUGAGAUGCGAAAGCGUGGGGAGCAAACAGGAUUAGAUACCCCAGUAGUC
rnacentral:rRNA from 1 species